UAUACUAUAAAGAAAGCCUAAAGGUUAUGCAAUUACAUGCAUUUGAUUAUAAUUGCUAAAAAAAAUGGCGUCGGGCUAUAAAAACGAUCACAGUUUUGAACGAUGGCGCAAGUCAUUUGACGAUGGCGCAAGACAUUUGAACGAUGGUGCAAGUCAUUUGACGAUGGCGCAAGACAUUUGAACGAUGGCGGGGCGCCAUAGUUAAACAGGCCAUGGAGAUCCAUGGUUU
rnacentral:lncRNA from 1 species